rnacentral:rRNA from 1 species
UACGUAGGGUGCAAGCGUUGUCCGGAAUUAUUGGGCGUAAAGAGCUCGUAGGCGGUCUGUCGCGUCUGCUGUGAAAACUCGGGGCUUAACCCCGGGCCUGCAGUGGGUACGGGCAGACUAGAGUGCGGUAGGGGAGACUGGAAUUCCUGGUGUAGCGGUGAAAUGCGCAGAUAUCAGGAGGAACACCGGUGGCGAAGGCGGGUCUCUGGCUCGUAACUGACGCUCAUGCACGACAGCGUGGGGAUCAAACAGG